rnacentral:miRNA from 1 species
UGGGUGGUUUGUUGUUG